rnacentral:rRNA from 1 species
GCUGGCGGCAGGCCUAACACAUGCAAGUCGAGCGGUAGAGAGAAGCUUGCUUCUCUUGAGAGCGGCGGACGGGUGAGUAAAGCCUAGGAAUCUGCCUGGUAGUGGGGGAUAACGUUCGGAAACGGACGCUAAUACCGCAUACGUCCUACGGGAGAAAGCAGGGGACCUUCGGGCCUUGCGCUAUCAGAUGAGCCUAGGUCGGAUUAGCUAGUUGGUGAGGUAAUGGCUCACCAAGGCGACGAUCCGUAACUGGUCUGAGAGGAUGAUCAGUCACACUGGAACUGAGACACGGUCCAGACUCCUACGGGAGGCAGCAGUGGGGAAUAUUGGACAAUGGGCGAAAGCCUGAUCCAGCCAUGCCGCGUGUGUGAAGAAGGUCUUCGGAUUGUAAAGCACUUUAAGUUGGGAGGAAGGGCAUUAACCUAAUACGUUAGUGUUUUGACGUUACCGACAGAAUAAGCACCGGCUAACUCUGUGCCAGCAGCCGCGGUAAUACAGAGGGUGCAAGCGUUAAUCGGAAUUACUGGGCGUAAAGCGCGCGUAGGUGGUUUGUUAAGUUGGAUGUGAAAUCCCCGGGCUCAACCUGGGAACUGCAUUCAAAACUGACUGACUAGAGUAUGGUAGAGGGUGGUGGAAUUUCCUGUGUAGCGGUGAAAUGCGUAGAUAUAGGAAGGAACACCAGUGGCGAAGGCGACCACCUGGACUAAUACUGACACUGAGGUGCGAAAGCGUGGGGAGCAAACAGGAUUAGAUACCUGGUAGUCACGCGUAACGAUGUCACUAGC